GGGGAGGGGAGGGGAGGGGGGAUAGUAGAGGAUAGGAAAGGCAGCAGAAUACAACAGACACUAGUAUGGCAAUAUGUAAAUCAAUGGAUGUGUAACUGAUGUGAUUCUGCAAUCUGUAUAUGGGGUAAAAAUGGGAGCUCAUAACCCACUUGAAUCAAAUUGUGAAAUAGGAUAUAUCAAGAACUAUGUAAUGUUUUGAACAGCCAACAAUAAAAAAUUAAAAAAAAUAAAUAAAUAAAUAAAAAAUAAAAAUUAAAAAAAAAAAAAAGAUGCUAGAAGAUUUGUUCUGGUGAGGACCCCUUUGUGGUUUGCAGACAGGUCUUUUUUGCUGUAUCUUUACAUGGUAGAGACAGAGCAGAAGAAAUUUCUCUCCCUGAUGAGUGUUUUAAUAAGGGUACUAAUACCAUUAAGGGAGUUCUACACUUAUGACCUCAUCUAACACCUAAUGACCUCCCAAAGCUCCCACUUGGAAUAACCAUUACUUGGGGACUAGGGCUUCAACACAUGAAUUUGGAAGACACACACAUUUAGUUCUUAGCCUUCUUAUCUGGAAGAGUUGUAUCUCUCCAACUUGUUAUAUUGAUUGGAUAAAUAUUUAUUAAAUUCCUGACACUGAAGAUAAAUAUGUGGGUAUUUCUUCUUUGGAUCAUAUGAAAUGGAUAUUUUGGUGAUCUACAAAAGAAUUAGACACUUCAAAUUUCCCAACACAAGUUUGCUCAUAGCAGAUAGUAUAUAUUAAAGAGUUUCAAAGGUGUAAGGAAAUGAUGCAUCUAUCGUUUCAUAGAUUCAUUGUAAAAAGAUAAUUCAAAUAGUAAAUUAAAAGAAUAUCCUUAAUGACCCACAUCCAUCCCAAUAGACAACCUGUGUGAUUCCAUAUAUAGAAAACUAUAGGACAUAAAAUUGAUCUCUUGACAAAAAAUCAGUGGUUGCCUGGAGACAGGCAUAAUGAGGGAAGGGUGGCUGGCAGACACAGAACUGAGAAUAUGACAUCCUGGCAAUGUAAUCCUAAUAAUAUUUAAGAGUAUCUGGUUAAUAUAAAGGAACUUGUGGACUAUCACUAUAGAAAACAAACACAUAUGUCAUUAAUAUUUUAACAUUUUAAAAUCUUAUAACUAACUUAUUGAUAUAACACUUGGAUUAUAAGUGGUUUACUUAUAAUUUAUAUUUACAAAUUUAUAUUAAAUUUAUAAAUUUAAAUUUACUCUAGAAUGGAUAAAACCCUAGUUACCAGGAAAGAAUCCAUGUUACAAUCACAGAUUGCUAAGGAAGAGACUAAGCAACUGCCUUGUCAACACCCAUUUAAGAGAUGCCUAUGUAUCAGCUAAUAAAAGUAUAACCUUUUUACCCUAUUUAUUGAAGAAGUUAAUAAUGUGCAACAUAAAACUUUCCAGUUAUAGGGUAUUGUUUUUCAGAAUAGAUUUUGAACUGGAAUUCACAAAAAAAUGCUCAUUAUACUCUAUAGAGAGAAAUAUAUAUAUAUGAC
rnacentral:lncRNA from 1 species